rnacentral:rRNA from 1 species
GACGAACGCUGGCGGCGUGCUUAAUACAUGCAAGUCGAACGGAAAGGCCCUGCUUUUGUGGGGCGCUCGAGUGGCGAACGGGUGAGUAACACGCGAGUAACCCCCCCUUAUCUUUGGGAUAUAUUUAGGAAACAGGGGCUCUUACACGAUAGGAGCUUCUGCUGCAUGGUGGGGGUUAGAAAGAUUCGGCGGUUGGGGAUCGACUAGCAGCUUACCAGCUGCAUGGGGAGGUAGUGAAUUACAAGGGCUUUGACGGGUAGCCGGCCUGAGAGGGUGAACGGCCACAUGACGCCUAAGAGACGCCCCAGACGCCUACGGGACGCAGCAGGGGGGAGUAUGGCACAAUGGGCGGAAGCCUGAUGCAGAAACGCCGCGUGCGGAAUGACCUCCUUCGAGUUAUAAACCGCUUUCGCCGGUGACGUAGCGUGAGUGACGGUAAUGAGUAAAGAAGCACCGGCUAACUACGUG